rnacentral:tRNA from 1 species
GGGUAGUUAGCUCAGUGGUAGAGUUUCUGCCUUACAAGCAGAGGAUCAUUGGUUCAAAUCCAGUACUACUCA